AGCUUCUCUUUUUUUUUAUAAUUUCAGCUCCCACCAUUUCAGCUGAACUCUGAAACCUCAAAAUUGAAGCUGUCUUCUUUUCCUAUACCUCCCAUUCCAAUUGGGAAUUAAUUUUUCAUCUCAAAUUUUCUCCAUUUCCGAAUUUUCUCCUGAAAAUUCAAAACACAAAAAACACAUUAAUUUAACUGAUAAUUAUAAAUAUAAAUGUAAAUAUAAAAAAAAAAUUCAAUAAAUAUAUUAUUUUUUAAUAUUAAUCAAAUAAAUAAUUUAAAAAAAAAAUCCUACUUGUUAAAUUUAAAAUUAAGAAAUUUUCAUUUUUAACACUCUAGUGGGUGCAUGACAGUUGUCAGUUCUCUUCGCAACCCACAAAACGACACAGUUUUGGUCGUCUUUUUUAAUCACGGAGACAAAUGUUAGAUUUUUCUUCUUUCCGUCUGUUCCCGCUCACCCAGCCAGCCAACUCUCUCUGGUCAACUAUUUUUUAUUUAUAGAAUACAAGAGUUGGUCAAACCCUUCCCAUUAAUUAUUUUUUGUUAAAUAUUAAUUAAUUAAUUCCUAAUUACGAAAAUUUAAAGAAUCUCUUAGGCAAUAAUCUAGAUAAUUAAUUAAUUAAUUAAUUUAAGCACCUUGUAAAUAUUGUUAAUUACCAAAUUAUAUGGGUUCAAGAUUCUCUAAUGAUGUUUAGUAUAAGGAGAUGCAAGUUGUCGUUGGGUUUUAUAUUAUAUUAAUCAAGGUAUUUAAUGAGAAAAUGUGAUUAAGUCAGUCUUUGUCUUUUUGCUGUAUACAUAUAUCAGAUAUUAAUUGGAUAUAUAUAUAUAUAUAUAUUAAAAUGAUGUAGUUCAAAAUCUACUGUAUCGUUUAUUAUAUUUGUAAAUAUAUGUAUAGAAGGAAAAUUUGACAGAAUAAUUAUAUGCUAUAUAUAUAUAUAUACAUAUGUGUAUGUAUAUUAUUAUGACUGUGUCAAUGACGGAUCCAUUAUAGUAAAAUUCACAGAGGAAAAAGAAAAGAAUAAUUUUCUAUAACUUCAUGAACGCGAAAAUUAUAUAGAUGCUAUAUAUAUAUAUAUAUGAUAUGCAAUUAUAAGCAAGUAUAUGUGAACUUACCAGAUCUAAUAGCUGAAGAUGGAAACUGCACAUCUCUUCAAACAAACACAUAGUGAUGGUAAAGAAGAAUUCUCUCACCAUCUCUUUUAUUUUUUUCUCUCAAACCUCUAUCAAUUUCCUCUACUUAUUUGUAUCGGCGAACUCGAUGAAACCACUGCAACGAGGAAGGUGUGUUUGUUCGGGUAUUUAAAGGCUCUCAAAUAA
rnacentral:lncRNA from 1 species